AAAAACUCAUAGAGAGGUUCAGAUUUGACUUCCACUACUGCUACCUCUCACUGGCUUAGUAAACAUCUGAUUGGUUGAUUGGAUAUAUAAAACGCAUCUGAUUGGCUAAUGGUCCCUUAAUGGUAGUGGUCGUCAAAUCUGAACCUCACUAAUGUUAUCUUGUUUUAAAGACCAAAAAUCUUCAUGAAACUAUAGAAGGUGUGGGAAAGCAAUGCAUUAUAUCAAAAUGAUCGCUAGUUCCCAGACCUUCUAUUGUUUUAUAAUAUGUAAAUAUAUAUAAAGUAAAACUAACAUUAGACGUAGAGAUAUUUAUCAGACGAGUUUGAAAGAGAAGGCAUAUAAGUACAGACCUACACAUUUGACUGGAUUGACUAUCAAUUAUGUUAAAAACUAAGGGAUGUAGCUUUCUAAAGCACUGUGUAGCUUAUAGAUAGCCUAGUCCAGUCCUUCUCGCGUGACUGGAUCGAUUUUGAAACCCUUGUAUAGUAAGGUACCACCCUAAAAUAGUAAGGCGGAAGCGAAAAGGCGAGGAACUAGGCUGGGUUCAUGUUUGGACUAGCAUUUGGUAAGAAUGACAUCACAUGGGAAAUGAAGGGAGAUGAGCGCAUGUGACGUCAUACUGACCAAAUGCUAGCACAAAAUUGCCAAAACCAGCCGAGUAACGGUCUAGAUCAAUGAAUUUGAUGUUUUGUCCCUUUUUAACAAGUAUUAAUUGUGACUGUCGUGACGAAAGCGUAUUCGCCGGUGUACAAUAGUCUGGAACUAUCUUGGAUAUCGUGCUGGAUACAAAACAGUCUUAAUUAAUUGAUUGCAAAGAUAUAUUGUAGGCUCUGGAAUCUCAACUUGUCUUAAGACCGAUUUACCAACCCAACCUCCACAGGAGGGAAGUGCCUGGGAACGAGGUUGUUGCCAUCCCAGUGAAUGACAGUAAGGCCUACUGUACGUCGAUCAUCUUGACAUGUUGCGACAAUUAAAUUUAUGAUAGUGUAGAAAAGUCCCUCGUUACACCGCCUCCGUUUCAAUCCGCGAUAAGGGGUACUCGGCAAAUUGGCUUAGUAACCUUCUCAACUCUAAACCUCUGUCUUAACCCCGAAACCUGCAUUAAAUUUAUAUAAGAUUUAAGGUAAAUGUCCCUAUUGACAUCUUCACGACAGUUACGACCAAAUGGGGUUAAUCCUCCUGUGUAUUUUCUCUUAUCACAACUCGUCUUUAAUAUAUCUCAACAUAUUAGAGUAUAACAAAGUAUAACUUAAUAUUUUAAUAGUUACUACUGUACGACUAAAAGUUAAUCUGUUGGGUUUUUGUAUGUAACAAUAGUUCUAGUUUUGUUUGAAGAUUGAUUAUAUAUUACCUUAUCAUUGUGAUUCAUCUGUUAAUUAUAAUUGAU